UCCCGUGAGCCUUCGCGGGCCCAGAGAAGAAUCUUCUAGGGUGAGGUCUCCAUGGCGACAGGCAGGUCCGCCCCCCUGAGAGCGACGCAAGCCAAUGGGAAGGCCUUGGGGUGACAUCAUGGGCUAUUUUUAGGGGUUGACUGGUAGCAGAUAAGUGUUGAGCUCAGGCUGGAUAAGGACUCAGAGUUGCACUGAGUGUGGCAGAGACGUCCGGGCAGGAACGCGCUCAGGCAGGAAGGCAGACAGAGAGACGGACGCGGACUCGGCCAACCUGGACGGCCGCGGACUCCGGGCUGCUCCUCGGUUUGUCCUCAUUUCCUCACCAACUACCUGGAUCCAGCGCCCGCGGCUCCAGCACCGGCGUUUUGGGGAGCACUUGGAGAGUCCCAUCUCCCGCCUUCCCCGGAGAAGCAGCUCCCCAGCCCCGGCACUGCUGACAGCAUCGGGAGCGGCGCCUGCCCGCGCGAGGAAAUAGGCGUGCGGCUACGCCGGCCAGCAACUUUCCUGACCCAGAAGACCGGGCAGGGGAACAAGUGGCCCGGAGCGAACUUUUGCAAACCUCUUCUGCGCCUCCGGCUGCCCCCGAGACCGUAAAGAAAAGGGAGAAGAGGAACCUACUACACUCAGCCCGGCUCGCAUAGGCGGCUGAAGUUGGGCGAGCGCUAGCCGCGGCCGCCGCCGCCGCCGAGCGUCCCCCUCCCCCCUCACAGCGGAGGAGGGGACAGUUGUCGGAGUCCGGGCGGCGGAGCCCGAUCGCGGGCUUCCACCGAGAAUUCCGUGGCGACUGGGAUCAGCGCCGCCGGAGAGCCGCUGUCUCUGGAUCUGGCCCGCCGUGUCCGAGGGACCACUUACUACCCGAGAGCGCUCGGCAUAAGAUGCCCUGGUGACUUUGAAUCUUUCUCCGAGUACACACACUUACUUCUACAUGUGGGACCCCAGGGAGCUGAAUAAGUCACCAGCAGGUUCUUUGAUGUGCACAGCAUCAGAGCAAAGAAAGAGAAGAGAGGAAAAGUUGGAAGAACCAAUGUUGAAGCAAACAGAGCUGCCAAAGCAAGAUGUGCCAAGUGAUGUUCAAUACUAAGGAAGACAUAGACCGUGGAGCAUGGCUACAAGGAAUUAGAAAGGUUUGUUCAUUCCUUAGCCCUUUGAUUGGCAUAUUAUGUAAUUACUGAUUGACCUGCUCUAUCCAUCUUUAAAAUGGGGCCUAUUAGUCAAGAUGUAAUUGGCUGAGCUAACGGACUGAGAUUUCAGGACUUAAAAAAUUAAUUUUUUGUUCAUUCAAAGUGUCAAAGAAAGUCGGGUCAAAGGAAGUUUCUACAUUCACUGUCUUAGACAUCCCUUUCUCUCUACAUUCACUGUCUUAGACAUCCCAUUCUCUCUACAUUCACUGUCUUAGACAUGCCUUUCUCUCUACAUUCACUGUCUUAGGCAUCCCAUUCUCUCUACAUUCACUGUCUUAGACAUCCCUUUCUCUCUACAUUCACUGUCUUAGACAUCCCAUUCUCUCUACAUUCACUGUCUUAGGCAUCCUGUUCUUUCUACAUUCACUGUCUUAGGCAUCCCAUUGUUUCUACUGUGUGACAUCCCAUCUCAUCAUUUGACUUCCACUGGUACUAUGGCAGAGAAGACAGGGCAGGAAGAAGCCCCUGGCCUCAACUCAAAAGUGUGAUUUUUAUUUAGAGCCCAUUGCUUGGGCCCAAUCCACCUGCAAGGAAGACUGGGAGGUGUGGAAGGAUGGACAACUAUUCAGUGAACACCAACUGUCACCACAUGGGAGAAGAAUUGAGUCAAUUAGGAUCAGAUUACUCUGCAUAAAAAUGUGAGAGCCAAACAGCAAUAGUCAUAAGGAGAUAGAGAUGUAUUUCCUUUUUGUAGAAGGAGUCUGGAGAAAUGGAAGACUGACUUGGGGGCCAGAGUUUAACUGCCAUUUGCAUUUUAGGAAUUAGAAUCCCAAAGAAAAGUUAGGAGAAAUGUAGUUCUUUCUCAAGAUUAGGUUUAUUUGAUAUGGUGAAUUUAUGCUGUGCUUAUGAAAAACUUCCAAAUUAAAUUUUCUGUUGAUCCCUUUCAAACUCUCGGGAACAGAGAAAGGAUAGGGAGACCAGUGCCUGCAGAAAGUAACCUAAGAGGAAAAUGGGGUCUGAAACUAGAUGCUGAGUAGUAUCUUCAUAGGAAUCUUCACAGUCCCACU